UAGCAACUAAAGAUGAACUCUUCCCUGCCC
rnacentral:piRNA from 1 species